AUGGCCCGGGGCGAGUUCUUCGUUAGCAUGGAGCUCUUUGAGCAAGCGAUUAACUUCAAGUGGGAGGUCAUAAUCAUCUACAGCCCCGCUGACCAUAGCCGAUCUACCUUCUUCCUCAACGAGCUUUCGAGGAAGGUGUCAGCCGCCCAACUACCUAUAGUGGUGGGUGGAGAAUUCAACCUCCUCCGCUUCGCGGAGGAUAAGAGCAACGACCUUAUCAACUUUCCUAGGAUGCAGAUGUUCAAUGAAUGCAUUGCUGAGCUCGAACUCCGGGAGUUGGAUAGGUUCAUGAAAGGUUGGGGCGUGAACUUGGGCCAUGACUUGUGGGAGCGCAAUAAAGCCAUUCUCGAGUCCAUUCAGGCCCUAGACCUUCAGGCAGACUUAGUUGGCCUUGCCCCUGAUGAGUGGCUGCUUUGGUAUGAUCUCGAGGACCAGCUUACAGUCAUUGACACCAAUGAGGAGGCUUAUUGGCGCCUCUGCGGGACCCAAAAGUGGGCCCUCAAGGGGGACACCAAUGCGGCAUACUUCCAGGUCAUCACCAAUGGACGUUCACGGCAAAACACUAUCCCAUUGCUUUGGGAUGGGGAGACCCUAGUUCAGCACCUAGUCGACAUUCGGCCUCACGUAGACGGGUUCUACAAAGCCCUCUUCUCUUCCUCCCCUCCAGGAGGCCUAGCUUUAGCAGUGGAUUUCUGGACUGGCAUCCAGUGCAUUUCAGCCGCAGAAAAUGCUACCCUCACGGCUCCGUUCUCUGAGGAGGAGGAGGUCUGGAUGGCCAUUAGCGACAUGAAUCCGACUUCCGCACCGUGUCCUGAUGGACUCCUGGUGAAAUUCUUCCAGGUCUUCUAG
rnacentral:rRNA from 1 species